UACGAAGGGUGCAAACGUUGCUCGGAAUCAUUGGGCGUAAAGCGCACGUAGGCGGCUUGCCAAGUCGGACGUGAAAUCCCUCAGCUCAACUGAGGACGUGCAUCCGAAACUGGCGAGCUUGAGUACUGAAGAGGAUCGCGGAAUUCCCGGUGUAGAGGUGAAAUUCGUAGAUAUCGGGAGGAACACCGGUGGCGAAGGCGGCGAUCUGGGUCGAUACUGACGCUGAGGUGCGAAAGCGUGGGGAGCAAACAGG
rnacentral:rRNA from 1 species